rnacentral:rRNA from 1 species
UACGUAGGGGGCAAGCGUUGUCCGGAUUUAUUGGGCGUAAAGAGCGUGUAGGCGGUUAUACAGGUCCGCUGUGAAAACUCGAGGCUCAACCUCGAGACGUCGGCGGAAACCAUCUGGCUAGAGUCCGGAAGAGGAGAGUGGAAUUCCUGGUGUAGCGGUGAAAUGCGCAGAUAUCAGGAAGAACACCCGUGGCGAAGGCGGCUCUCUGGGACGGUACUGACGCUGAGACGCGAAAGCGUGGGGAGCGAACAGG